rnacentral:guide_RNA from 1 species
ACCACACAACAAACUAUUGGAUGAGGAAAGGUCUGGUAA